UACGUAGGGGGCGAGCGUUGUCCGGAUUUAUUGGGCGUAAAGAGCGUGUAGGCGGCCAGAUAGGUCCGUUGUGAAAACUGGAGGCUUAACCUCCAGCGGUCGAUGGAAACCAUUUGGCUAGAGUCCGGAAGAGGAGAGUGGAAUUCCUGGUGUAGCGGUGAAAUGCGCAGAUAUCAGGAAGAACACCCGUGGCGAAGGCGGCUCUCUGGGACGGUACUGACGCUGAGACGCGAAAGCGUGGGGAGCGAACAGG
rnacentral:rRNA from 1 species